GGAUGUGAGGGCAAUCUGGUUGCGACAUCUGUCACCCCAUUGAUCGCCAGGGUUGAUUCGGCUGAUCUGGCUGGCUAGGCGGGUGUCCCCUUCCUCCCUCACCGCUCCAUGUACGUCCCUCCCAAAGCUGCGCGCUCGGUCGAAGAGGACGACCUUCCCCGAUAGGAGGACCGUUCUUCGGUCAAGGGUAUACAAGUAGCUGCGCUCCCCUGCUAGAACCUCCAAACAAGCUCUCAAGAAAUGCAGAAUCUGAGGCUUCAACCUGUACUGAUUCAGAAUCUGCAUUU
ensembl:misc_RNA 7SK 7SK RNA